rnacentral:rRNA from 1 species
UACGUAGGUGACCAGCGUUGUCCGGAUUUACUGGGCGUAAAGAGCGCGCAGGCGGUCGUUCAAGUCGAGUGUGAAAGCCCCCGGCUCAACUGGGGAGGGUCAUUCGAUACUGAUCGACUUGAAGGCAGGAGAGGGAAGUGGAAUUCCCGGUGUAGUGGUGAAAUGCGUAGAUAUCGGGAGGAACACCAGUGGCGAAGGCGACUUCCUGGCCUGUUCUUGACGCUGAGGCGCGAAAGCUAGGGGAGCAAACGGGGAUUAAGAAACCC